UACAGAGGUCCCAAGCGUUGUUCGGAUUCAUUGGGCGUAAAGGGUGCGUAGGUGGCGUCGUAAGUCGGGUGUGAAAUCUCGGGGCUUAACUCCGAAACUGCAUUCGAUACUGCGGUGCUUGAGGACUGGAGAGGAGACUGGAAUUUACGGUGUAGCAGUGAAAUGCGUAGAGAUCGUAAGGAAGACCAGUGGCGAAGGCGGGUCUCUGGACGACACCUGACACUGAGGCACGAAAGCUAGGGGAGCAAACGGG
rnacentral:rRNA from 1 species